AACGAACGCUGGCGGCGUGUUUAAGACAUGCAAGUCGCACGGAACAAGACAUGUAGUAAUACUUGUUUUGUUUAGUGGCGCACGGGUGAGUAACACGUGAAUUACAUGCCCUAUAGUGGGGAAUAGCCAGGGAAACUUGGAUUAAUACCCCAUGGUCUCGCAAGAGUAAAGGUGGCCGCAAGGCUGUCGCUAUAGGAUUGGUUCGCGCCCUAUCAGCUUGUUGGAGAGGUAACGGCUCACCAAGGCAAUGACGGGUACCUGGUCUGAGAGGACGAUCAGGCACACUGGAACUGAGACACGGUCCAGACACCUACGGGUGGCAGCAGUCGAGAAUAAUUUACAAUGGGGGCAACCCUGAUGGUGCAACGCCGCGUGGAGGAUGACGGUCUUCGGAUUGUAAACUCCUGUCAUCUGGGAGAAAGACCUGACGGUAAAUAGCCGGCAGGGUUGAUAGUACCAGAAGAGGAAGGGACGGCUAACUUCGUGCCAGCAGCCGCAGUAA
rnacentral:rRNA from 1 species